UCCAAUCCAGGCCUCCUUUGCAAGACUCCCUUGUCUGUGGCUACACCUGCUGCUAGUUUAAUGGACCUUACCGUCUUGAUGGAAACAGUGACACCAACACACACAUACCCACUACUGUUCUCCUGGAGCUUUUGAUCUGAAGCCUGGACCAACUCUAUCCCAGGCCUCCCAACACCUAUCAUACAUUGACAUUGUACGUUCCCAGUCCUUUACUUCUUCCAGGCAGCCGUCCACCUCCAUCCUCUCCCUCUCCCUGCCCCCUCCAACCUGUGUCUCACAUCUGCUUUGCUGGCUAGACGUGUAAUUUCCCCUGUUACGUCACACUCUUACACUCAUGCACUCCGGACACACAUACAGACAAAGCUAUUAGAACCGUAUGCUCAACAGGGUCCUGGCACUACCAGACAAAGAGCCUUUUCACACAAAACAUCAGCCUCUCCAGUCCUUCCCAAUACCAGCAAGGUCAUCUCUACUUUAUUGCUUGUUAAUGUGUAUGGUGUAUGGGGAGACUAUUGAAAACAGGGGAAAAUGCACACAUGCAAUUUGGAGCACAAGAUCUGGACAGAAGAUGAAACACAUAAUCCACGAUCAAAAUGUCUUCUUUUAAUUUUUUUUUACAUGAGACAUUUCUUAUUAUAUUGGGACUAGUCCUCAUUCACUCAAACAGCUGCACUGUUGCUGCCCUCUAAGAGGUGAGUCACCUACUUUAGACUACAUUGGCUUUGAAAGGGGACCUGACACCUGCUUAGGACGUAAAUGAAUACCAGAGCAGGAUGACAGUAAACCCUCUCAGAGGAACGAAUGAGAGCCCUUAGUUCCUGCUGGUUCAGGUUGCUGCUGAAGGAAUGGAUCUGGAGAAGUUGUGACCGUCCAUGACUCACCAGUGACAAGACCUUUGAUUCAUCACCUGUGCUGAUCACAAUUACUGACUGCUACUAUUCUGUUGUACUUCUACAAUGGCCAUAAAGACAAACAUUCACUUUUAUAAGGACUUUUGGAUCCAAAACAAUGACUUCUCUUAUUAGAUAUUCUUAUGAGAAAUAGAUUGGAUUGGCAUCGCGUGAGGAAAAUGCCCUGCACGGUUUAACUGAUUUCAUGGAGUGGACACACCUUGUUGCUGGGGCACGUGAGACCCAGCGGGCCAGAACAUCUGUGGGGCUCAAAGGGACAGACAGACCGGGGUCAGACGUCCUGGGCUAAACGCUUCUGGGAAAGGUCCUCUCUUUCUCCCUCUCUCUCUAUCCCACUCUGUCACUUUCUCUCCCAGUCCUCUCUCUCUCCCUCUCUCUCUCUAUCCCACUCUGUCACUUUCUCUCUCUCCCAGUCCUCUCUCUCUCUGUCCUUUCUCCCCUUCAGGCUGAGGUAAUGGGGGUCCUAGCUGUGUCGGUCUCCUCUGGAUUAGGCAGGAAUGCAGCUUCACACGGAGGCUUCAACUGGACUGUUCUUUUCUAAAGCGUCUCCACCUCUAUCAAUAGUUGACUGCGACGGACCCCAUGCCUGAAAACAAACUCUGACAUAGUCUAGGCUUAUCACUGCAGUGGCUGGCUAGUGUAUUUAGAAAACUCACCUACAACCCAGUUGGCCAGUAAAGUCCACACGUACAUAUUCACACAGAACCACAAAGGCAGAUAGUGCUGUGGUGCCAGACUUAGAAUACGAUCUAUCACCCUAUUUAUCACACGUAUCACACGACUAAUGCAAUUAUGACAUCAUUUGGCCUCCUUUUAAAUCCAGGUUCCCAAACUAAGCAGUGCAGCUAUACUUAUUUGUGGUAUUGUGAAGCUUAAGGCCUCAUUGCAGCACUACACUGACAUUCAGUGGGGUGAUCGACAAAAUUGCUUCCAACACUCUUCUCAGCAAACUGGAUGCAGUCUAUCACAGUGCCAUCCGUUUUGUCACUAAAGCACCUUAUACUACCCACCACUGCGACUUGUAUGCCCUAGUCGGCUGGCCCUCGCUACAUAUUCGUCGCAAGACCCACUGGCUCCAGGUCACCUACAAGGCCAUGCUAGGUAAAGCUCCGCCUUAUCCCAGUUCACUGGUCACGAUGGCAACACCCAUCCGUAGCACGCGCUCCAGCAGGUGUAUCUCACUGAUCAUCCCUAAAGCCAACACCUCAUUUGGCCACCUUUCGUUCCAGUACUCUGCUGCCUGUGACUGGAACGAAUUGCAAAAAUCACUGAAGUUGGAGACUUUUAUCUCCCCCACUAACUUCAAGCAUCAGCUAUCUGAGCAGCUAACUGAUCGCUGCAGCUGUACAUAAUCUAUUGGUAAAUAGCCCACCCAUUUUCACCUACCUCAUCCCCACAGUUUUUAUUUAUUUACUUUUCUGCUCU